UACGAAGGGUGCAAGCGUUAAUCGGAAUUACUGGGCGUAAAGGGUGCGUAGGCGGUUCGUUAAGUCUGUCGUGAAAUCCCCGGGCUCAACCUGGGAAUGGCGAUGGAUACUGGCGAGCUAGAGUGUGUCAGAGGAUGGUGGAAUUCCCGGUGUAGCGGUGAAAUGCGUAGAGAUCGGGAGGAACAUCAGUGGCGAAGGCGGCCAUCUGGGCCGAUACUGACGCUGAGGAGCGAAAGCGUGGGGAGCGAACAGG
rnacentral:rRNA from 1 species